rnacentral:rRNA from 1 species
UACGGAGGGUGCAAGCGUUAAUCGGAAUCACUGGGCGUAAAGCGCGCGUAGGCGGCUUUUUAAGUCGGACGUGAAAGCCCUCGGCUCAACCGGGGAAUUGCGUUCGAAACUGGGAGGCUUGAGUCCUGGAGAGGGUGGCGGAAUUCCGGGUGUAGGAGUGAAAUCCGUAGAUAUCCGGAGGAACACCGGUGGCGAAGGCGGCCACCUGGACCGAUACUGACGCUGAGACGCGAAAGCGUGGGGAG